rnacentral:tRNA from 1 species
GUUUCUGUGGCGCAAUCGGUUAGCAUGUUUGGCUGUUAACUGAAAGGUUGGUGGUUCAAGCCCACCCAGGGACU